rnacentral:lncRNA from 1 species
GGAAAAGGGGGAUGGGGAGAGCAACUCGACAGUGGAGAAGCCUGACAAGAACUACCUCAGCCAGGUGAUCAAGCAGCUGUUUGAAAUACAAAUAGAUGAAUGAGGAAAAUCCCCUAUGUUUAAAAUCCACCAUGAAGAGAAAAGCAGGAAGAAGUUCAAGCUAGCCCCUGGGGAUUUUCCCAGGUUCAGUAGAUUGACCUGGAAACAAGGAGUGCAGCUUGAGCUCUUCUUCCUUUAGCAGAACAAGCACUGGUCAGAGAAAUUUCCAAACACAUGGAGCUUAGCGAGACCACCUGCUCCUAACACAGGACAAUGGCCACUGGACCACCAACUCUGUUGCUUCAAGUCAACACCAGCUCUCCUUCACAACAGAUGACAGGCUUUCCGCUAGAAGAGUUUCCCAGUAAAAGAGUGAGCAAAGAAAUGCUAAACUUCACAUCUGCAAUAGAAGCUGAUAAAUGAGAAGUGAAAUGGACAAAUUAAAAAGCUGAAACUGA